rnacentral:rRNA from 1 species
AUGAACGCUGGCUACAGGCUUAACACAUGCCAGUCGAGGGGAAACGACGGGGAAGCUUGCUUCCCCGGGCGUCGACCGGCGCACGGGUGAGUAACGCGUAUCCAACCUGCCUCUGACUGAGGGAUAACCCGUCGAAAGUCGGCCUAAUACCUCAUGGCAUCGUCUGCGGGCAUCCAACGACGAUUAAAGAUUUCAUCGGUCAGGGAUGGGGAUGCGUCUGAUUAGCUUGUUGGCGGGGUAACGGCCCACCAAGGCUACGAUCAGUAGGGGUUCUGAGAGGAAGGUCCCCCACAUUGGAACUGAGACACGGUCCAAACUCCUACGGGAGGCAGCAGUGAGGAAUAUUGGUCAAUGGGCGGGAGCCUGAACCAGCCAAGUAGCGUGCAGGAUGACGGCCCUAUGGGUUGUAAACUGCUUUUAGGCGGGGAUAAAGUGAGGGACGUGUCCUUCAUUGCAGGUACCGCAUGAAUAAGGACCGGCUAAUUCCGUG